rnacentral:rRNA from 1 species
AUUGAACGCUGGCGGCAGGCCUAACACAUGCAAGUCGAGCGGAUGAAGGGAGCUUGCUCCUGGAUUCAGCGGCGGACGGGUGAGUAAUGCCUAGGAAUCUGCCUGGUAGUGGGGGAUAACGUCCGGAAACGGGCGCUAAUACCGCAUACGUCCUGAGGGAGAAAGUGGGGGAUCUUCGGACCUCACGCUAUCAGAUGAGCCUAGGUCGGAUUAGCUAGUUGGUGGGGUAAAGGCCUACCAAGGCGACGAUCCGUAACUGGUCUGAGAGGAUGAUCAGUCACACUGGAACUGAGACACGGUCCAGACUCCUACGGGAGGCAGCAGUGGGGAAUAUUGGACAAUGGGCGAAAGCCUGAUCCAGCCAUGCCGCGUGUGUGAAGAAGGUCUUCGGAUUGUAAAGCACUUUAAGUUGGGAGGAAGGGCAGUAUGUUAAUACCUUGCUGUUUUGACGUUACCAACAGAAUAAGCACCGGCUAACUUCGUG